AUAACCUUGAACGCACGCCAUUUCAAACAUGUAUGACUAUAAUCAGUGACAGCUGAUUACAAUUGUCAACAGGGCUCUAAGAGGUGGCUUGUCAAAGAGGCAAGUUCUUGGUGUUCAGGUCCAGCUUGACGAUGUACUGUUGAUUGUGACAAGACCGGAAUGAGCAGGAAGGACAGGAAGGAAAGAGGCUCGUCCCGGCCGAGAGAUGCAAGGCGUGUUGUUGCUCUCUCCCGCCAUUUUAGAAGAAUCCUUUCUUCCCCUAAUGAAAUCAUACAUGGAACCCAAAUUUAAAACAGAAUUGCUUUGUUUGAAGCAGAAACAGGGGACAGGACUCCCAGCCGUUCAGCCUCACCUCUGCCUUGAAGUGUCUCCACUGAGGAUCACACCUAGAAGACCACUGGUAUCAGAAGUUCUCCACCCCGGCUGCACAUUAGAUUCACUAAAGAGCCUGAAAAUAUGUGAAGUCUUACACAUGAGGUUCUACACUACAGCUCUGUUUGUAAGAGCAGAAAACUAGAAACAGCCCAGAAAGAGCUACGCCGCAUCGCCACGAUAGAGUACCGAGCAGCUGUGAAAGGGAGCACUGGAGAUCGCUACAUAGCACGAGGGAGACAUUGCCGGGAGUCAGCGAAAAAAACUAAGUGUAGGGCAUGCUACAUUUAUUUAAGAAAGGAGGGCAUAAUGUGUUUUCAGGUGACAAAUGCUACAAGGCGCUUGUUCUCAUUUCUUCACUAAAAAAUUUUGCAUAGGGGCCAGCCCGGUGGUGCAGUGGUUAAGUGCGCACGUUCUGCUUUGGUGGCCCAGGGUUCGCCGGUUUGGAUCCCGGGUAUGGACAUGGCACCACUUGGCAAGCCAUGCUGUGGUAGUCGUCCCACAGAUAAAGUGGAGGAAGACGGGCACGGAUGUUAGCUCAGGGCCAGUCUUCCUCAGCAAAAAGAGGAGGAUUGGCAGCAGUUAGCUCAGGGCUAAUCUUCCUCAAAAAAAGAAAAAAUUUGUAUAGUUAAAAAGAAAGAGAACAGGAAUUUACAGAUUAAAAUAAGUUUAGAAGAUUAUCAAUAAAUCAUAACAGAAAAAAUUAGGAAAAUUUUAA
rnacentral:lncRNA from 1 species